UACGGGGGGAGCAAGCGUUGUUCGGAUUUACUGGGCGUAAAGGGCGCGUAGGCGGUAGCACAAGUCAGUUGUGAAAUCUCCGGGCUUAACUCGGAAAGGUCAACUGAUACUGUGCGACUAGAGUGCAGAAGGGGCAACUGGAAUUCUCGGUGUAGCGGUGAAAUGCGUAGAUAUCGAGAGGAACACCUGCGGCGAAGGCGGCUACCUGGACCGGUUCUGACGCUGAGGCGCGAAAGCGUGGGUAGCAAACAGG
rnacentral:rRNA from 1 species